rnacentral:rRNA from 1 species
AGUCGACGAUGAAUCUUCUAGCUUGCUAGAAGUGGAUUAGUGGCGCACGGGUGAGUAAUGCAUAGGUUAUGUGCCCUUUAGUCUGGGAUAGCCACUGGAAACGGUGAUUAAUACUGGAUACUCCCUACGGGGGAAAGUUUUUCGCUAAAGGAUCAGCCUAUGUCCUAUCAGCUUGUUGGUGAGGUAAUGGCUCACCAAGGCUAUGACGGGUAUCCGGCCUGAGAGGGUGAUCGGACACACUGGAACUGAGACACGGUCCAGACUCCUACGGGAGGCAGCAGUAGGGAAUAUUGCUCAAUGGGGGAAACCCUGAAGCAGCAACGCCGCGUGGAGGAUGAAGGUUUUAGGAUUGUAAACUCCUUUUGUUAGAGAAGAUUAUGACGGUAUCUAACGAAUAAGCACCGGCUAACUCCGUGCCAGCAGCCGCGGUAAUACGGAGGGUGCAAGCGUUACUCGGAAUCACUGGGCGUAAAGAGUGCGUAGGCGGGGUAAUAAGUCAGAUGUGAAAUCCUGUAGCUUAGCUACAGAACUGCAUUUGAAACUGUUACUCUGGAGUGUGGGAGAGGUAGGUGGAAUUCUUGGUGUAGGGGUAAAAUCCGUAGAGAUCAAGAGGAAUACUCAUUGCGAAGGCGACCUGCUGGAACAUUACUGACGCUGAUGCACGAAAGCGUGGGGAGCAAACAGGAUUAGAUACCCUGGUAGUCCACGCCCUAAACGAUGGAUGCUAGUUGUUGCCUUGCUUGUCAGGGCAGUAAUGCAGCUAACGCAUUAAGCAUCCCGCCUGGGGAGUACGGUCGCAAGAUUAAAACUCAAAGGAAUAGACGGGGACCCGCACAAGCGGUGGAGCAUGUGGUUUAAU